UGGCCUAGUGGAUAAGGCUAUGGAUCGCCAAUCCGGAGACGGCGGGUUCGAUUCCCGU
rfam:Aedes albopictus isolate Foshan contig164225, whole genome shotgun sequence.